AACGAACGCUGGCGGCAUGCCUAACACAUGCAAGUCGAACGAGACCUUCGGGUCUAGUGGCGCACGGGUGCGUAACGCGUGGGAACCUGCCCUUAGGUUCGGAAUAACUCCCCGAAAGGGGUGCUAAUACCGGAUAAUGUCUUCGGACCAAAGAUUUAUCGCCUUUGGAUGGGCCCGCGUUGGAUUAGCUAGUUGGUAGGGUAAAAGCCUACCAAGGCGACGAUCCAUAGCUGGUCUGAGAGGAUGAUCAGGCACACUGGGACUUAGACACGGCUCAGACUCCUAGGGGAGGCAGGAGUGGGGAAUAUUGGAGAAAGGGCGAAAGGCUGAUCCAGCCAUGGCGGGUGGGUGAUUAAGGGCUUAGGGUUGUAAAGCCCUUUUACCCGGGAUGAUAAUGACAGUACCGGGAGAAUAAGCUCCGGCUAACUCCGUG
rnacentral:rRNA from 1 species